GUUAGGUAGAGCACCUCGUUUACACGCGCGCCAAUGUUUUUCAGGGGAGUCUAUCAUGUAAUAAAAAAAAUUGAUCCUUUUGAGAAAUCGAUGUCUUACUCCAUUAUUUUGAAGGAACAAAACAAGAGAACAAUAGCCUGACAAAUGGUUUGGUUCGAUUCGGGUACCGUUUAGGUAGGAGCAGGAUCCGAAUCGAAUCUAUCAUUGAUUUGAUAUAUUGAUAGGGCGAAUACCUAGUCUAUUCAAUGCUAGGCAUAAUGAGUAUAAAGACCUCAAAAAUUUUCUUUUCGUCCUAUGAAUCUUAAGGUGUAUGAAGUUUCAUCUUUGAUUUUUUAAUCAGGAUGAUAGAGACUUCAUUUAACUUAGGUUGAUCUAGGCCAGAAGCAAACUUAUGUUAAGAUAAACUUUCCCUUCUUUGAAACACUUUGGUAGUGCUCCUGUAUCAGUAAUGAAUCAGAGCACAUGGAACCAUCUUCUUUUUUUUCUAAGAGAAAAAAUAUAUAU
rnacentral:lncRNA from 1 species